GACGAACGCUGGCGGCGUGCCUAAUACAUGCAAGUAGAACGAGUUGCGAACGGGUGAGUAACGAGUGGUAACCUUACUCAUAGCGGGGGAUAACUAUUGGAAACGAUAGCUAAUACCGCAUACCAUCGGAUGUGCCCAGAUGGGAGUAGCUAGUAGGUGGGGUAAUGGCUAACCUAGGCGACGAUCCCGAGCUGGUCUGAGAGGAUGACCAGCCACACUGGAACUGAGACACGGUCCAGACUCCUACGGGAGGAAGCAGUGGGGAAUAUUGCACAAUGGGCGCAAGCCUGAUGCAGCCAUGCCGCGUGUAUGAAGAAGGCCUUCGGGUUGUAAAGUACUUUCAGCGAGGAGGCGUUACUCGCAGAAGAAGCACCGGCUAACUCCGUGCCAGCAGCCGCGGUAAUUC
rnacentral:rRNA from 1 species